rnacentral:rRNA from 1 species
AGUGAACGCUGGCGGUAGGCCUAACACAUGCAAGUCGAACGGCAGCACAGUAAGAGCUUGCUCUUACGGGUGGCGAGUGGCGGACGGGUGAGGAAUACAUCGGAAUCUACUUUUUCGUGGGGGAUAACGUAGGGAAACUUACGCUAAUACCGCAUACGACCUACGGGUGAAAGCAGGGGAUCUUCGGACCUUGCGCGAUUGAAUGAGCCGAUGUCGGAUUAGCUAGUUGGUGGGGUAAAGGCCCACCAAGGCGACGAUCCGUAGCUGGUCUGAGAGGAUGAUAAGCCACACUGGAAGUGAGACACGGUCCAGACUCCUACGGGAGGCAGCAGUGGGGAAUAUUGGACAAUGGGCGGAAGCCUGAUCCAGCCAUACCGCGUUGGUGAAGAAGGCCUUCGGGUUGUAAAGCCCUUUUGUUGGGAAAGAAAAGCAGCAGGUUAAUACCCCGCUGUUCUGACGGUACCCAAAGAAUAAGCACCGGCUAACUUCGUG